AGUGAACGCUGGCGGUAGGCCUAACACAUGCAAGUCGAACGGCAGCACAGUAAGAGCUUGCUCUUACGGGUGGCGAGUGGCGGACGGGUGAGGAAUACAUCGGAAUCUACUUUUUCGUGGGGGAUAACGUAGGGAAACUUACGCUAAUACCGCAUACGACCUACGGGUGAAAGCAGGGGAUCUUCGGACCUUGCGCGAUUGAAUGAGCCGAUGUCGGAUUAGCUAGUUGGCGGGGUAAAGGCCCACCAAGGCGACGAUCCGUAGCUGGUCUGAGAGGAUGAUCGGCCACCCUGGAACUGAGCCACGGUCCAGACUCCUACGGGAGGCAGCAGUGGGGAAUAUUGGACAAUGGGCGCAAGCCUGAUCCAGCCAUACCGCGUGGGUGAAGAAGGCCUUCGGGUUGUAAAGCCCUUUUGUUGGGAAAGAAAAGCAGCAGGUUAAUACCCCGCUGUUCUGACGGUACCCAAAGAAUAAGCACCGGCUAACUUCGUG
rnacentral:rRNA from 1 species